rnacentral:snRNA from 1 species
AUGCUUACCUGGCAGGGGAGAUAACAUGAUCAUAAAGAUGGUUUUUCCAAGGGUGAGACUUAGCAAUUGCACUCCAGAUGUGCUGACCUCUGUGAUUUCCCCAAAUUGUACUGCAUAAUUUGUGGUAUUGGGGCACUGCAUUCACCCUCCUA